UCCCUAGUGGUCUGGCGGUGGUCUAGCGCUCUCACCACCGUGGCCCGGGUUCGAUUCCCGGGCAGGGAA